GUCUCUUUGAGAUCUUAAAUCUUCAGGUAGCCUGCUUUUGGGAAAACUGUCAAUCUUAUGAAGCAAUUCUGCAUAUCGUCCAUAGGUCUCCUUUCUAGUUUCUCGUGCUGUCUUCGAAGUUCUUCGGACGAGGAAACGUCGAAGCCAACUUGAUAGCAGGAAUUUAGCAUCAUAUCCGCAGGACCUAGGAUCCAGUCAGUAACGCUCGAUACACCUUGUUCAAGAUCUUCGAUUACUCUAGCGGUAUCUAGAUUCCGUUCCAUCUCCGUCCAGGAAUUCUCGAUAUCCAUCUAGAAAACGAGACGAUAAAUUAUAACUGAGUAUAAAACGAUUUUUAAUAAUUAUUACAUUAAUGUAUUUCUCUAAAUACCUGCGUUAAUUCGAUAGAAUCAAGCAGUUUAUGAAUUUCUUUGAUAGUGUCCAAAGUAUCUUUAGAGGAUUCUCUGCUCAGAGAACUUAUUAAAUUUCUACCUAACAAACAAAUAAGAUUAAUUUACUUUUUCCGUAAUUUUCAUAUAUUGUACUACUGUUCGCAAUAAUUCUUAAUGUUUUAUUAAUUGUAAACGCAAGCCGAAUUUUUGUUUAAUUUUUAAAUAAAACAAUCAUAGAAGAUAAACCUGAUUGCAGUA